UACGUAGGGUGCUAGCGUUGUCCGGAUUCACUGGGCGUAAAGGGUGCGCAGGCGGUUGGGUGUGUCAGAUGUGAAAUCCCGAGGCUCAACCUCGGAACUGCGUCUGAAACUACUCGACUAGAGUACUGGAGAGGGUAACGGAAUUCACGGUGUAGCAGUGAAAUGCGUAGAUAUCGUGAGGAACACCAGAGGCGAAGGCGGUUACCUGGACAGUUACUGACGCUCAGGCACGAAAGCAUGGGGAGCAAAAGGG
rnacentral:rRNA from 1 species